CAGCAGCCACGGUAAUACGUAGGUGGCGAGCGUUGUCCGGAAUCAUUGGGCGUAAAGGGAGCGCAGGCGGGCAUGUAAGUCUUUCUUAAAAGUGCGGGGCUCAACCCCGUGAUGGGAAAGAAACUAUGUGUCUUGAGUACAGGAGAGGAAAGCGGAAUUCCCAGUGUAGCGGUGAAAUGCGUAGAUAUUGGGGGGAACACCAGUGGCGAAGGCGGCUUUCUGGACUGCAACUGACGCUGAGGCUCGAAAGCCAGGGGAGCGAACGGGAUUAGAGACCCCCGUAGUCCCUGUCUCUUAUACA
rnacentral:rRNA from 1 species